GAUGAAGAACGUAGCGAAAUGCGAUAAGUAGUGUGAAUUGCAGAAUUCAGUGAAUCAUCGAAUCUUUGAACGCACAUUGCGCCCUUUGGUAUUCCUUAGGGCAUGCCUGUUCGAGCGUCAUUUAAACCUUCAAGCUAAGCUUGGUGUUGGGUGACUGUCCGCUUCACUGCGGACUCGCCUCAAAAUUAUUGGCGGCCGGUACAUUGGCUUCGAGCGUAGCAGAAACGCGAACUCGGGCCCGUCGUAUUGGCUCCCAGAAGCUAUCUUCACAAUUUUGACCUCGGAUCAGGUAGGGAUACCCGCUGAACUUAAGCAUAUCAAUAAGCGGAGGA
rnacentral:misc_RNA from 1 species